UACGAAGGGGGCGAGCGUUGUUCGGAUUUACUGGGCGUAAAGGGCGCGUAGGCGGCGGGUCAAGUCGAGUGUGAAAGCCCCGGGCUCAACCUGGGAAUUGCGCUCGAGACUGGUCUGCUUGAGUUCGGGAGAGGAGAGUGGAAUUCCCAGUGUAGAGGUGAAAUUCGUAGAUAUUGGGAAGAACACCGGUGGCGAAGGCGGCGCUCUGGACCGAGACUGACGCUGAGGCGCGAAAGCGUGGGGAGCAAACAGG
rnacentral:rRNA from 1 species